ensembl:lncRNA
UAUGUUAGUGUCACAUGACUUACAGCUGGAGUCAACUAUGUAGCUCUAUGUUAGUGUCACAUGACUUACAGCUGGAGUCAACUACGUAGCUCUAUGUUAGUGUCACAUGACUUACAGCUGGAGUCAACUACGUAGCUCUAUGUUAGUGUCACAUGACUUACAGCUGGAGUCAACUACGUAGCUCUAUGUUAGUGUCACAUGACUUACAGCUGGAGUCAACUAUGUAGCUCUAUGUUAGUGUCACAUGACUUACAGCUGGAGUCAACUACGUAGCUCUAUGUUAGUGUCACAUGACUUACAGCUGGAGUCAACUACGUAGCUCUACGUUAGUGUCACAUGACCCAGUUCAUCUGGAGAGAAAACAUGACUUAUAGCUGGAUGCACACAGCUUUAUUUUCUCAUCAGGGAUCUGUAGUAAUGACAGGAGGGGAAUAAGUGCACACCUGUUGUAUUCGGCGCACGUGACAAAUAAACUUUGAUUUGAUUUGAUGUGUCAGGAUUAACCACAAUCCUGAUGGAGACUUCUGACUUCACAUCACACCUCUGGCAAUUCCAUCUAAUCACCUUUACAUUUACAUUGUAUUCAUUUAGCAGAAGCUCUUCUCCAGAGAGACUUACAAUUAGUGCAUUUAUUUGAAGAUAGCGAGGUGAGACAAUCAUAUAUCACAGUCGUAGUAUGUACAUUUUUCCUCAAUAAAGAUGGGCAAACCUGUUUUGGUGAUUUCUGGUACAUCAUCAAAAUAAAUCAAUCACAGCGUGUUUUUGGACUCAUUCAGCAGUUUAUCCUGAUUAAGUACAAUACCAUUGGAAAUUAAUGUUAAUAUACUUAGUGUGUAAUAUAUUCAUUCAUUAAAUAUGGUGAAAUAAUUCAAUAUCAGAAUAUAUAUUUUUAUAAUCACAUAUAUUUCUCACUAGUUUAGCCAUUUAGAGAUUUAAAAAAUGCUCUUAUGUACAAUUGAACUGGGCGCUUCAGAAAGAGCUGUGAUUGGGCAGCUGCUCGUUCAUCUGUCUUCCCAGAAUUCUAGUACUAAUAUAAGCCGUUUACCAGUCUCUUUUAUCCAAAGCAACUUACAGUCAUGUGUGCAUAGAUUUCACAGCAAUAUCAGUCCUUUUAGGAAAAGACAAGUGAAAAUAAAAUGAGGGGGGUAAGUCAGAGAUGUCUUCCUUAAGAUAGUCUUUGAAGAGGUAGGGUUUCAGAGUCAGAAGUUUUUGGAAGAAUGGCGGGGACUCCUAGCAUCAAGGGAAGUUGUUUCCACCAUUGGGGUGCCAGGACAGUGUUUACUCUGAAAUGGCCGGUCACCCGGCGAUACCUGGGAAAUGUUUAUUUCAGCAGUGCAGCAGCCGAGACGCAACACAGGCAGCCCAACAACACCACAACUAUCAGACAUGAGCCCAAACCUCCCCCCUUCCUGUUAUCCUGAGAAAAUUGGCCCCCAGUUUAUAACAGUGUGUGUGUGUGUGUGUGAGUGAGUGAGUGAGUGAGUGAGUGAGUGAGUGAGUGAGUGAGUGAGAAAGUGAGUGAGAAAUGAGUGAGAAAGUGAGUGAGAAAGUGAGUGAGUGAGUGAGUGAGUGAGUGAGUGAGUGAGUGAGUGAGUGAGUGAGUGAGUGAGUGAGUGAGUGAGUGAGUGAGUGAGUGAGUG